CUGGGAAAACUUCCUCUUCUUUAUUCGCUGGACGCUCACGUUGGCAGUCGUUGUGCUGUUUAAAAUCCAACUCCAGCAGCUAGAAAUGUUGUUUUGCAGCUAACUGCUUUUUCCAUUCCUGCUGUGUGUGGAUUUUGCUUGGAGCAACUUCAACGGAGUCACCUUUCGUCCGCUGAGCGAGCGUGCAAUUGCAGCAAGGUUCACGCUUUUGGCUUAAACAUCCAUCAGGAGCUUCAUUUCGGUCGUGUGUUGCACACAAAAACCCCCGCAGUGAUGAUCAUCAGACUCGGCAGACUGACUCCUGGAUACUUCCGUCUUUUGCAGCGGCAGGUAGCAGGAGAAGUCCAGGCCCCGGUGCGUGACCGCUCCGUCAACCAGAUUGCCAUGAUGCUGGCCAUCAUGGGUCUCAGCCUGUCCUAUUACAGCGCCAAACAGAUGACGGAGAAAGUUCGCCACGAGCCUUCAAUAUGAAGAUACACACAAACACACUCCGAAAUGACACGGAGAGACACCCAAGCCAAACUAAAUAUGCAAUUUCAGACUCUGUCACAGUUUCUGGAUCUAAAAUCACAGCACCGGGUUUCUACUUCAGGAUUCUCUUGCUUUAGUUUAGCUCUCAGUGGGGUUUCUGGAGGGGAAAUCUUGUGGCUUGAGUUUCGAUAGUUGAUAUUGUACAUGCACCAGAGUCUCAGUUACUCAAGUUGGAGGCUUUUCUCAGUGCAUGAGUAAAUAUGGAGAAAAUCUCUGAGCCAUAAUGUGUUUUAAAGGGAAGGAGCUCUGCGUUUGAGAUGUACUAUUUGACUAUUGAAAGCACAGCCCAAUGCACAAUGGUGGUUUUAUUUCUGAUAUGCAAUUGAGGAACGUCUCUGAGGUGUUCAAAACUACUCUUUUUGUGUUAGACACUUUAUCGUUGGAGGACCUUGUAUUUUAUUUUCAUUAUGAUUUCAUAUCAUCUCGUCUGAGUGACUCCCAACACUUUAGAUGUUAACCGUGUGCAAUUGCAUGAAGAUUUUAGUGAGUCUAAUGUACGUGUUGUUUCCUAAUGCUUUUUUUUAAUUGAUGAUGCUGAUGAAUGUACUGUAUGAUGUUCUGUUUUUAAUGAUCAAAUAAAGCUGUGAAUUUUUUUUUUCCAAACACGA